CCUACGGGGGGCAGCAGUGGGGAAUAUUGGGCAAUGGGCGCAAGCCUGACCCAGCAACACCGCGUGAAGGAAGAAGGCUUUCGGGUUGUAAACUUCUUUUGUCAGGGAAGAGUAGAAGACGGUACCUGACGAAUAAGCCACGGCUAACUACGUGCCAGCAGCCGCGGUAAUACGAAGGUGGAAAGUGUUGUCCGGAUUUACUGGGUGUAAAGGGCGUGUAGCCGGGUUGACAAGUCAGAUGUGAAAUCCUGCGGCUUAACCGCGGAACUGCAUUUGAAACUGUUGUUCUUGAGUAUUGGAGAGGCAGAUGGAAUGCCUGGUGUAGCGGUGAAAUGCGUAGAUAUUA
rnacentral:rRNA from 1 species